rnacentral:rRNA from 1 species
AGAGACAUCAGCAGCCGCGGUAAUACGUAGGGUGCAAGCGUUAAUCGGAAUUACUGGGCGUAAAGCGUGCGCAGGCGGUUUGUUAAGACAGAUGUGAAAUCCCCGGGCUCAACCUGGGAACUGCAUUUGUGACUGGCAAGCUAGAGUCUGGCAGAGGGGGGUGGAAUUCCGCGUGUAGCAGUGAAAUGCGUAGAUAUGCGGAGGAACACCGAUGGCGAAGGCAGCCCCCUGGGCCAACACUGACGCUCAUGCACGAAAGCGUGGGGAGCAAACAGGAUUAGAUACCCCCGUAGUCCUGUCUCUUAUACA